rnacentral:rRNA from 1 species
AAAUAUGACCUGCCCAAUGAUGUUGUUUAAUGGCCGCGGUAUUUUGACCGUGCAAAGGUAGCAUAAUCAUUAGCCUAUUAAUUGUAGGCUUGUAUGAAUGGUUUGACGAAGUAUUUACUGUCUCUUUAGUAAAAUUAUAAUUUAAAUUUGUAGUUAAAAUGCUGGAAUUUUUUUAUGGGACGAGAAGACCCUAUAGAUCUUUAUAUUUUUGUUUUUUAUUAUUUUUGGGUUAUUUGAUAUUGAUUUAUUAAAAUAUUUUGUUGGGGUGACAUGGGGAUAUAUUUAACUCUUUAUUUUUUUUUUACAUUGAUUUUUGAUUUGUUGACCUUUUAUUAUUGUUAUAAGAUGUAGAUACCUUAGGGAUAACAGCGUAAUUUUUCUUGAGAGUUCAUAUCGACAGAAUAAGGUUGCGACCUCGAUGUUGGAUUAAGAUUAUAAUUAGGUGUAGGUGCUUAAUUGUAGGUCUGUUCGACCUUUAAAUUCUUACA